rnacentral:lncRNA from 1 species
GGAAAAAGGAAGCUGCCACGUUGUGAGGGCACUUAAGUAACACCAAAAACAGGUCUAUGUGGCAAUGGAAUGAAGCACUCUGCUAAAAGCCAGUGAAACACUGAGGACUCCUGCAGUGGCAUUAUUUUCAUUCCAUGGUUAGUUGAAUCCAGGCAUGUGGAACCCUUGGAUAUGGAAGGCCAAUGAUAUUUUGCAUCUAUGAUCUUAUUGAAACCUAUUUACCAAGUCACGAGGAAAAAAGAGCUGAAGGACAAAUGAUGCUGACAAGGGGACAGUCAGAACCUGCAUACUUUGAAUGCAAUACCAGGGCACUAGUGCCAAGAGUUACAAAAGAAGAAGAGCCUUUUAACUUUGGCGGGAGUGCAGAAGGGAGGACCAAAAUUGUAAUUUGAACACAUUAUUGAGUAAGAUCAUAUAAUGGAAAAGGAGGAAACUGGUUUAAAGAGAUGAAAUAAAGGUAGAGGUUAAUUAGAACUACCAACAUAAAUAUAUGCCCUUUUAAAAGAAGAAAAUUUUUUCUUGCUCUGUCUUCACUCUUUUCUACUCUGAAUAUUUUAUAUGAAACAAUAUGAAGUGCACAUCUAAUGCCCAGAUUUUGGUCAUUAGCACUAUUUUCUACAAAAAAAAAACUUGGUGAAUAGGCCGUUCCACAUUUGGAGAAAAAAGAAUCAAGAUGAUCUAUGAGACACCCUGUCAGAAGGGGGUAGUGUUUAAAGAAUAAAGAGGUCAGUUUGAAGGGAAGGCUGCCAGAGGCCAUGUGCUGAUUAUUUUAUCAUCUAAAAGAAAAUAGUUACUAUAGUUAAAAAGAACUUUUAGUGUUUGUGAGAGUCCCUAAGCAUGCUCAAAAGGAAAUGUUUCAGAGAUAAGUCAAAUAUACUACAGGUUGAGCAUCCCUAAUCUGAAAAUCCAAAACGUUCCAAAAUCUGCAACUUUUUCAGUGCUCACAUGAUGCUCCAAGUAGAAAAUUCCACACCUGAUACCUUUGUUUUCUGAUGGCUCAAGUACACAAACUUAGUUUCAUACACACAAUUUAAAAAAAUAUUGUCUAAAAUUACCUUCAGUCUAUGGGCAUAAGGUAUACAUGAAACAUAAAUAACUUUCAUGUUUAGACUUGGGUCCCUUUUCCAAGAUAUCUCAUUAUGUAUGUAAACCAAAAAUAAAAUUCUAUGCCCCACAACAAUCUGAAUGGACUCCUCCUUUUGGCAAGGGCAUUCCAAAGUUAACCUGAAAAACUAGCUCAGGCCAUGAUGGGAAGGGGGAGUCAGACAGGCCUCAUUAUUCCCUCCUUCCUUUUGGAAUUCAGACACAGCUGAGCAGCAUUAACAUUAAAGCAGAUCUUAAGACUGAUAGAACAGAUGCUUUAAGUCUGAUUAGAAACAUUUACAAUCUAUUCUUUCUGAAGCUGCCACCUGAAGGCUUCAUCUGCAUGAUAAAACCUUGGUCUCCACUACUGCUUAUCUUAAAACAGACAUUCCUUUCUAUUGAUUCCAGAUAACAACUCAGCCAACUACCAACUAGAAAAUCUUUGAAUCUGCCUAUAACCUGGAAGGCACCUGCUUCCAGAUUUCCUGCCUUUCCAGAUGUACCAAACCAAUGUACAUCUUACAUAUAUCAAUUGAUGUCUUAUGUCUCCCUAAAAUGUAUAAAACCAAGUUGUAGUUUGACCACCUCGGGCACAUGUUCUCAGGAUCUCCUAAGGGCUGUGUCACAGGCCACUGGUCACUCAUAUUUGGCUCCAAAUGAAUCUCUUCAAAUAUUUUACAGAAUUUGACACUUCAUCAACACAUAUAUGCAAAUAUUCUAAAAUCCAAAAAACUGAAAUCUGAAAC